UUGUAGUCGUAUGUUAAGUGUGUUUGGAUGAAGCAUCUGCUAAUCAUACACAUAGCUAACGGUAUAUGGACUCUACAGCCCAUUAUGAUGUGGUGAAGUGACUGUGCUGUGGCAGAGACUGUAGCGUGUGUGCUUUACAUGAGAGAGGUCAGGGGUUCAAGACUGAGUCGAUGGGUGUGAGGGAUGGGUAGGCCUGUCAUGGGAGGCGGAAAAAUGGCCAGCAGGAAGGUGUGCAGCAGCCACUGGAAUGACCUCUUCCACCUCCUCCACUAACAGCUCCUCAUCAGCCGGCAGUGGGAUGUGAUCC